rnacentral:rRNA from 1 species
GACGAACGCUGGCGGCGUGCCUAAUACAUGCAAGUAGAACGCAGUUGCGAACGGGUGAGUAACGCGUAGGUAACUGCCUCAUAGCGGGGGAUAACUAUUGGAAACGAUAGCUAAUACCGCAUACUGUGAGAUGGACCUGCGUUGUAUUAGCUAGUUGGUGAGGUAAAGGCUCACCAAGGCGCCGAUACAUAGCCGCCCUGAGAGGGUUAUCGGCCACAUGCGUACUGAUAAACGGCCCAGACUCCUACUGUGGUGAGCUGUAGGGGAUCUUCGGCAAUGGACGGAAGUCGGACCAUGCAACGCCGCGUGAGUGAAGAAGGUUUUCGGAUCGUAAAGCUCUGUUGUUAGAGAAGCUGUAACUAACCAGAAAGGGACGGCUAACUACGUGCCAGCAGCCGCGGUAAUAC